rnacentral:lncRNA from 1 species
UACGAUAGAGAUCUUAUUUGAAGAUGAAACCAUCCAAAUAUAUUCACACGAUUUUUUUUAAGGGAAUAUAUUCACAUCGUUCACAGCAAACAUCAAUAGAAAAAACUCUCUAUUAAUAUUUCAAACGACUUAAAUGACUUCCACUAUACAUUGGAAAACUGAAAACAUGUCUAUGCUUAUAUGGUUGACUUACAAUUCCAUGCAUGAUUUGAUUCCAUUGUUUGAUACUCCAUCCAACUCUAACUCUUCUCUAUAACUGAAAAUCAACCAAGCAAAACAGAAAAGAGAAACAAACUAUAAGAACAUGAGUAAACCUUAUCUCGCUUCGACACAAAUCAUGGAUGAUUGUGGGUGCCCAGCCGCUGAUUAUGUAAAAUUACCUUGAAGGUCCAGCUCUGAUGGUUCUGCAAGCAAGUAUCUUGUCUGGAUAUAAUAGUUCUAGGCACAAACUUAAAAACUUUAUUAGAUGCCCCUGAUGCACUGUAAGGCCUUGCAGUGUUAGCUCGAACAGCCCAACUGUAUGGACAUGUAAAUCAGGUAUCGACAUGAAAACAUGGACGAAGAUUCUAUAUAUUUUUGUAGGUGAAAAAUAAAUUUCAGUUAGUAGUUGCCGCAAGUAUAUAUGUAUCGACACAUUCGACAUACAGUAUGAUAUAUCAAUAGUAAAAGUUCAUAUU